AAUAUUACUACAAAUUAAUGUGAUUUGUGUUCACUGUAUUCCAAUCUUCGAUUCUAAUUCCAAUUAUCAGAACUAAAUUAGGGAAGCUGUCAGGCAACCCAACUCAAGCGUUCCCGGUCGGAGUUCUAAUAAGGACUUAAGAUAUUUGUACCUGAACGUCUCCGGAGUGAAGAGUCGAGAAGAUGGACAUCUUCGAAGGAUAUGACCCCUCUACUUUGUUCGCAGGACUCUAUCUAUUUAUUUGGGUUUGUGGUUGCUUUGGCAAUGAUAAUAUGUUUUGGAACAUUCUCAUGUUCUUUUCGGUUCUGUGCACUCUACUAUGCUUGUACCGCAUUACUAAUAAUGAGCUAUAAAGCCAUGGAGUGUAUUUUGUAACCAAUGUAGUAAAUAUUAUGACGAAAAAUAUGUAUUUUCUAGUAUAUUAUUGAAUAAUUUCUUUUUAAAUUUUGAUGUUUUCAAACAGUGAAAUAGCAACACAGAUAAAAGAGAUGUCACAGACCUGGCUAGUGAGGUAGUUCAAGAAGGUUUUUAGAACAGAAUAUCUAACAAAGAGAAACUUGAAUUCUUGGCUCACUUUCGGGAGAAACAACGUAGUUAAUAUUACUCAUGGCCACAUAGACCAUCCCCAUUGCAUUGAAUAUCAUAGUUAUUCCAGUAUCACGGUAUUUUUUUCGUAAAUACAUGUAUGGAAAAUUUCUAAAUACAAGGAGGUUUUUAAAUCUAAGUUUACAGGCUGAAUAUUUUCUACAGUAAAAGUAGUGUAAUAUAACUUAAAAAUUACUACAUUUUUGGUAUACUAAUAAAAUUAUAAAUAAUACACCAUCAUUAUCAUUGUAUACUAUGUAAAUACUUGUUUUUCUUCAUAAGUAUAUUGUGUAGUGUAGUUUGUAGAAAGUAGGUACCCUGUAGUUGCUAUAAUGAAUUUAACUCGUCGAGUACCGGUUUUGCAGACACAAUUAAAGAACAAUAGGUUGCGGUCACCGGUGACCGCUUGGUAUUUGACAGUUUAAAAAGUAAAAAAUUUAUAGUUAAUAAUUAACUAGUGAAAUCCAUUUUCAGGAUAGUUGGAAUUUUUAUGGAUUUCUUUUGAACAAGAUUACUUUGUUAGAUUGUUUCGUGAGUACAUAUCUUGUUCUUUUGGCUAAGAUAAAAAGUUAUAUGAACAUUCCUUUUCAAAUUGGUAAACAUUUUGUGUAUAGGGCAGCAGCAUUAGUAGAUUUUGACAUGUUUCGAUAGAGUUUUCAAUGAUAUUAUGGCAAAAACAGGGAUAACAAUUAAAAAUGUUUGCUGGAUUUUUCAUAUGGUUUUUUCAUAAUACUAAUGACGGACUAUGUGUACACAGAUUUGUAGCACGCUGACAAAAAAUUCAAUGUAAACUGAAUCUGAAGGGAACUAUUUGCUUACAAACAAGAUUUAUUUUAUCAGCCUUCCGUAAAUCUGUUUUUAAGAGUUGGUUUCCAGUAAAUUAUCUAUCUUUAUGUACUAAAAAUAGGCACAUCCUCCCAAUCCAUUGUCUAUGUCUUACUGUAAUUUACGAAUAACAAUACUUAAUAUUAAUAUACAGUUGAUAAUA